GAUGAAGAACGCAGUGAAAUGCGAUAAGUAAUGUGAAUUGCAGAAUUCCGUGAAUCAUCGAAUCUUUGAACGCACAUUGCGCCCCCUGGCAUUCCGGGGGGCAUGCCUGUCCGAGCGUCAUUUCUGCCCUCCAGCCCGGCUGGGUGUUGGGCGCUGUCCCCCCGGGGACACGCCCCAAAGGCAGUGGCGGCGCCGCGUCGGGUCCUCGAGCGUAUGGGGCUUUGUCACCCGCUCGGGACGGACUCGUCGGCGCUGGUCUUCCUCCAGGCGACCCUUCGGGGCUCGUCUUCCUUCGGUUGACCUCGGAUCAGGUAGGGAUACCCGCUGAACUUAAGCAUAUCAAUAAGCGGAGGA
rnacentral:misc_RNA from 1 species